CCUGGACUCAAGUGAUCUGCCGUCCUUGGCCUCCCAAAGUGCUGGAAUUACAGGCGUGAGCCACUGCACCUGACCUCCAUUUUCCUCUGGUCUUUCAGAGAGCCCAGGCAGAAGCUAUUAUCAUCAAAGGAUGAUUGCAGAAAGGAUGACCUACAAGUGGAUGGUCAGAUCUGGCUGCAAAUGGAUGUCUGAAAGAAAACGGGGAUCCUAGGAAACCCAUCACAGCCCUCUAUGAGCUUCAGAAACCAGCAAGCAGUCCCAGCUAAGGUCCCGGUCAGCAGCCAGCAUUGACCACCAGAUGUGUGAAUGAAGAGGCCUUCAGAUGAUUGCAGCCCCUAUUGUUAAGGCAACCCCAACCUCCGAGUCUUCCCAGCAGAGGAUUCAGCUACUAUGGAGUCAAGAUAAGUCAUUCCCACUGUACCCUGUCUGGGGUCCUGACACAUGAAGAUUGGAAGUGGUUUGUCACAUAGCAAUAGUAACUGAAACACUGGGAGAGGGACGUCUUUAAGAGGAGAAAUUAAGUUCCCAAUGAGAUUUUAAAGAUGUACUAAUGAAACAAUCAAGUAGAGAUAUCAAGUAGUUAGUUGGACAUGUGAGCGUAAGCAGACUUCUUGGCUGGAGAUAUACUAAUGGCAAACAGCAUAUGGAUGUCAUUUAAUUUCCCAGGCCUGGGUGAGAUCACCUACAGCAGGAGGUGGACAGAGAAGAGGAGCUGGUUCAAGACCUCAUUCUGAGGAAGCCCAGUAUUUAGAGAGAUGGGUGUCUCGCUAUAUUGCCCAGACUGGUCUC
rnacentral:lncRNA from 1 species